GAUGAACGCUGGCGGCGUGCCUAAUACAUGCAAGUCGAGCGAACAGACGAGGAGCUUGCUCCUCUGACGUUAGCGGCGGACGGGUGAGUAACACGUGGAUAACCUACCUAUAAGACUGGGAUAACUUCGGGAAACCGGAGCUAAUACCGGAUAAUAUAUUGAACCGCAUGGUUCAAUAGUGAAAGACGGUUUUGCUGUCACUUAUAGAUGGAUCCGCGCCGCAUUAGCUAGUUGGUAAGGUAACGGCUUACCAAGGCAACGAUGCGUAGCCGACCUGAGAGGGUGAUCGGCCACACUGGAACUGAGACACGGUCCAGACUCCUACGGGAGGCAGCAGUAGGGAAUCUUCCGCAAUGGACGAAAGCUUGACGGAGCAACGCCGCGUGAGUGAUGAAGGUCUUCAGAUCGUAAAACUCUGUUAUUAGGGAAGAACAAAUGUGUAAGUAACUAUGCACGUCUUGACGGUACCUAAUCAGAAAGCCACGGCUAACUACGUG
rnacentral:rRNA from 1 species